GUGAGGAAUUUUCCGCAAUGGGCGAAAGCCUGACGGAGCAAUGCCGCGUGAAGGAUGAAGGCCUAUGGGUUGUAAACUUCUUUUCUCAGAAAAGAAUUAUGACGGUAUCUGAGGAAUAAGCAUCGGCUAACUCUGUGCCAACAGCCGCGGUAAGACAGAGGAUGCAAGCGUUAUCCGGAAUGAUUGGGCGUAAAGCGUCUGUAGGUUGUUUAAAAAGUAUUCUGUCAAAGAUUAGGGCUUAACCCUAGAUAGGCAGAAUAAACUUUUAAGCUAGAGUUUGGUAGAGGCAGAGGGAAUUCCCGGUGGAGCGGUGAAAUGCGUAGAUAUCGGGAGGAACACCAAAGGCGAAGGCACUCUGCUGGGCCAAUACUAACACUGAGAGACGAAAGCGAGGGGAGCAAAUGGGAUUAGAUACCCCUGUAGUCC
rnacentral:rRNA from 1 species